GUAAAAGCUGUGACGAAGACAGUAGAUAGUUUAUGAAAGCUUUCAGAGAGCCGCCGGUUGGUGCGAGGCGGUGCGAGUAGAAACUUAUUGAAAAUCACUUCUGAGCUGCGGGGUUGAAAUGAGUAGAUCCUGACGUAGGUUCUGGCGUUAACGGAAAGCGUAUUCAACAAGCGAUGAGCUUGCGCGUAUGUGUAAACAGGUGGUACAACGAGAUUGAUAUUUUGCCUCGUCCUUUUU
rnacentral:ncRNA from 1 species